rnacentral:rRNA from 1 species
AGAGUUUGAUCCUGGCUCAGAGCGAACGCUGGCGGCAGGCCUAACACAUGCAAGUCGAACGAACUCUUCGGAGUUAGUGGCGGACGGGUGAGUAACACGUGGGAACGUGCCUUUAGGUUCGGAAUAGCUCCUGGAAACGGGUGGUAAUGCCGAAUGUGCCCUUCGGGGGAAAGAUUUAUCGCCUUUAGAGCGGCCCGCGUCUGAUUAGCUAGUUGGUGGGGUAAUGGCCCACCAAGGCUACGAUCAGUAGCUGGUCUGAGAGGAUGACCAGCCACAUUGGGACUGAGACACGGCCCCAACUCCUACGGGAGGCAGCAGUGGGGAAUCUUGCGCAAUGGGCGAAAGCCUGACGCAGCCAUGCCGCGUGUAUGAUGAAGGUCUUAGGAUUGUAAAAUACUUUCACCGGUGAAGAUAAUGACUGUAGCCGGAGAAGAAGCCCCGGCUAACUUCGUGCCAGCAGCCGCGGUAAUACGAAGGGGGCUAGCGUUGCUCGGAAUUACUGGGCGUAAAGGGAGCGUAGGCGGACAUUUAAGUCAGAGGUGAAAUCCCGGAGCUUAACUUCGGAACUGCCUUUGAUACUGGGUGUCUUGAGUGUGAGAGAGGUAUGUGGAACUCCGAGUGUAGAGGUGAAAUUCGUAGAUAUUCGGAAGAACACCAGUGGCGAAGGCGACAUACUGGCUCAUUACUGACGCUGAGGCUCGAAAGCGUGGGGAGCAAACAGGAUUAGAUACCCUGGUAGUCCAA